UCGAGAAUUUUUCACAAUGGGGGAAACCCUGAUGGAGCGACGCCGCGUGGGGGAUGAAUGGCUUCGGCCCGUAAACCCCUGUCAUUUGCGAACAAACCUCUUUGCCUAACACGUGAAGAGCUGAUUGUAGCGAAAGAGGAAGGGACGGCUAACUCUGUGCCAGCAGCCGCGGUAAUACAGAGGUCCCAAGCGUUGUUCGGAUUCACUGGGCGUAAAGGGUGCGUAGGUGGUGGGGUAAGUCUGAUGUGAAAUCUCCGAGCUUAACUCGGAAAUGGCAUCGGAUACUAUUCUGCUAGAGGGCUGGAGAGGAGACUGGAAUUCUCGGUGUAGCAGUGAAAUGCGUAGAUAUCGAGAGGAACACCCGUGGCGAAGGCAAGUCUCUGGACAGCACCUGACACUGAGGCACGAAAGCUAGGGGAGCAAACAG
rnacentral:rRNA from 1 species